rnacentral:tRNA from 1 species
GCGAGAGUGGCGGAACCGGCAGACGCGCCAGAUUUAGGAUCUGGUAGGGAAACCUGUGGGGGUUCGAGUCCCCCCUCUCGCA